GCUGGGCAUGGUGGCACAUGCCUGUAGUCCCAGCUACUUGGGAGGCUGAGGCAGGAGGAUCACUUGAGCCUGGGAGGUGGAGGCUGCAGUGAACAGUGAUUGUGCCACUGCACUCCAGCCUGGGCGACAGAGUGAGACCUUGUCUCAA
rnacentral:SRP_RNA from 1 species